rnacentral:rRNA from 1 species
GCUGGCGGCGUGCCUAACACAUGCAAGUCGAACGGGAACUUCUGGAUUCGUCUAGAGGGGAGAGUGGCGAACGGGUGAGUAACACGUAGGUGACCUGCCUUGAAGACGGGGAUAACCACUGGAAACGGUGGCUAAUACCCGAUAGUCUUGACGAUUCGGUUCGUUGAGUAAAGCUCCGGCGCUUCAAGAGGGACCUGCGGCCCAUCAGCUAGUUGGUAGGGUAAUGGCCUACCAAGGCGAAGACGGGUAGGGGGCGUGAGAGCGUGGCCCCCCACACUGGCACUGAGACACGGGCCAGACUCCUACGGGAGGCAGCAGUGAGGAAUAUUGCCCAAUGGGCGAAAGCCUGAGGCAGCAACGCCGCGUGGGUGAUGAAGGCUCUC